GACAGAGGAUGCAAGCGUUAUCCGGAAUGAUUGGGCGUAAAGCGUCUGUAGGUGGCUUUUUAAGUCCGCCGUCAAAUCCCAGGGCUCAACCCUGGACAGGCGGUGGAAACUACCAAGCUGGAGUACGGUAGGGGCAGAGGGAAUUUCCGGUGGAGCGGUGAAAUUCGUAGAGAUUGGGUGGAACACCAGUGGCGAAGGCGCCUAUCUGGCCGAUAACUGACGCUGAGACUCGAAAGCAUGGGGAGCAAACAGG
rnacentral:rRNA from 1 species